CUAAUGCAUAUGAAAUACUAUACUUUAAAUCACAGAAAUCAGUAAAGUAUCAGGAAAGCAGUUGACGCAGGCAUUUAAAAUGUAUCAGAGAAAUCACAGAAUCAUAGAAUCAUAAAAUGGAAUGUAGAAGUGUACACAAAAUUGUGAUGGUUUUAUGAUUUUUGGUUAUCAGUAUUCCACAUCACAACAUCAUGCAGUGUACUGGGAGUUAAAGAGCAAAUGCUUUAGUUCUGGGUACCUGUCUGGAAGAGAAGAACUACGUUCCCCAAGAGCGUUUUCGAGUACUGUUAUCAUUCCUGCUUAGGGGAACAGAUAUAAGGGUGCAGGUCAUCUGACUCGCUGCCCUCUUCUCGUCUCGCCGUGCUCCCUGUCAGAUUGGCUCAUUACUGCUGCUCCUGACUGCACGCAAGGCUUCAGUACUAGUGAGGAAAUAAGGAAAGCUUUGAGUUGAAAGGAGUGGCAGGAGGAAAAAAACCUGAAAAGGAGACAUUCUGGAAUAUGAAACUGUUUUCUCAAUUUCCAGGAAGAGGUUUCCAGAUAUGAUUACUGAAGCCUAAUGCAACAAAAUUUUGAUUCCAAAGAAGAAAAUAUAAGCUGCAACGUACUUCACAUAGUGAAACUCUUCAAACAACCUGAAAUAACGAAGAUCCAUUACUAGAACAAGGCAAGAUUUUUUCUGGUUGAAAAGUACCAGAUCAGGAAAAUGUUAUAAUAUCAUCUUCUUCUGUCCACUGGAUUAGACAGGGGUCCAAUUACUCACUACAGCAGGAAUUUGCAUUUCUGGAGUUUGAAUCUCUUGAAGUCAUUUUAUGUGUACAAUCUCCAUCAGGAUAAGGAGAAUGAAGAAUGAGACUGAAGAGUGCUGAGAUCAGCAGUGUUUUCAGCAUCUGCAUGCAAUAAUGUGAUUUAACUGACCUGUAUGGGCUUGAGCCCAAGAACCACAGAAAGGAUUUAUUUAGGCUGUAUUGGCUGGCAUGUGGAAGAAGCUCCUACUAUAAAAGCUAUGUGGAUCACAAUAUUAAAUCAUUUUCAUAAAAAGGGGCAGGCUUAUCUCAGUUUUGCUUCUUUGCUUAUUUUCCUCCAGCCAGUUUCUAUCUCAGGAUUUGUGAAACAGUUUGUAUAUCUUUAAUAAUUAUACAAAUUUGGUUCAGAAAAAUAGCUGAAAAUUCUAUUAAUCUGUGUUGCAUGGAGGUUUGGUUCACAGGUAUCUGAAGAGAAAGACAGAAAGUAGUAUAAAAAGUAUUUUUCUUCAGCAUAAUUCAGGUUACAACAUAGAACCUCCUACUCACCACACUUCAGUGAAUCAUGCACACUAAACAUCUUGAUUCCUCACUUUUUUAAUGUGCUCUGAAUAUGAUUUUCUCAUUUACAAUUAUAAAUGUUACAUUGAUCUUAAAAAGCUGACCAAGUCAGGCUGCCAAAAGUAUAUAGUAAUGUAGCUGUAUAUUCUAACUGAUUGUCAAUUUUUUAUUUUUAUUUUUUUUUAUUUCUGUACAGUACUGUAGUUAUUUUUCAUUACCUUUGUGCAGUAUGCGUCCUGACAAAAUAUAGGAAAAGAAGCUAUUAAGCAUAUUUGUGAAACCUCUUUCUAUGUGAUUAGGUUUUAUGUUGUUAAAUUUGAAUAAAGCAUUAAUCAUAAAUCAUAUGAAUACCUUUUUGCUUCAUACAGUUGAAUUGCUAUGCAACUUCUACUAAAAUAUUGACUGAAAGCGACUCCACUUUCAACUUAUUAUCUUCUUUUUAGAACUGAAGUUAGUUACAUACCUGAUUUUUUUCAUGUUUUUGAUAUACUGUUCUUUAUGUGUUGAAAAUAAGACUGAAUACACUUCAGUCCAAGCACAUGUCACUGUAGAAAUGGAACCAAAGAGCUGUAGGACAUAUACAACCUUCAAGAUUCUUCAGUGUUACAUGGAGUUUUACCUCUACAGUUGUAAAAAAUAAUAAUCCUAUCAGCUACAAGAAACUGUUAGGUGUUUUUUAUGAUCUGGAUAAAUGUUCCCUUAUGAAAUAAGAUAAAGUAUAAGCAUGCAAGUAUAAGGCAAAGUAUUCUCUGUCUUACUUGAAGGAUGAUCCAAUCCUGUCUGCAUAAAGAACUUUUGGCCCAUUGUGCCUGAUCGUUCUCUCAAACUGCUGCAGGGGCUGAAUUCAAAAUACUACAUUAAUACCAGAACAGAAUGCAAUAGCUUUGCAACCUUGAAGAUAUAACAUUAUUUUGUAGCUCAAUUUAUUUUUUGGAGAGUCCAUGGUUAUGACUAUUUCAUGCGAUGAAAUGCUAGUCAGAGAUGCCUGGGGUUUCUGUAACAAACGAGAAGCAAUGAAAAUUUCAGAGUUUUUCUGUACCCAUAUUUGAAGUUACACUGCAAGUGAAGUUUAGAUGAAACUUGGGUAAAGCUAUUGAGAAAAUCUAGCUUUGAGGGCUGCUCUGAAAGUAAUGUCUCCUAUUCUAUGUUGGCCUACAAAGUCAGAGAUGAAUUUUGGUGGAAUGGUAGUAGAGGCUGAACCUUCUUGCCAACAUUCUGUUACAUCUUAUUGCUGUGUGACAGUUGGCUGCAGAGGGGCAGUCUGACAAAAGGGUGUCUGACACAGAACUGCAUAUGAAGCAAAGGUGUGUUAUUGAAUCUCUCCAUGUUGUAAAAAUUGCACCUCCUGAUAUUCACUGACACUUAAUGAACAGUUAUGGAGACCAAACAGUGGAUGUGAGCACAGUGAGGCAGUGGGUUAUGCGUUUCAGCAGUGGCGAGAGCAACAGCGGGUCACCUUUGCUGGUGCAGAUUUUUACAAGUGUGGCAUGCAGGCUCUUUUCAUCACUGUCAGGAGGACAUAGCUAAUGGUGCUGACUGUGUUGAAAAAGAGUGUUUUGUAGCUGAGAAUUUGUUCUAUCAAGUAGUGUUCUUUUCUCUUUGUAUAUGUUGUUCCAUGGAAAUAAAUAGAAGGCAUUACAUUCAGAGUGACCUUUGUACAUAGUCUUUUUAUAGUUUUUUUAAAGUACACCUGAACUUACCCUGUCCCAGCCCCAAAUCAGAUCAUACAAACAAGUUAUGACCCAAAGGGUCUGUGCUCAAUUUGUUAUGAUAAAGCUCUUUUGGGCCUACGGUACACUCAACUCAGAGUUUAUACAUUUCCUGUCAUGAUGAAAUGCAAGCAGAGCAAGCACAGGUCUUGACAGUGAUCUGAGGAUUUACAGUGCAUUAUGUAAGGCCAAGGCUCAACUGCAUAAUCGUCUCCUGAAGUGGGGGUAGGAGUCUGGGAGAUAAAAGUUUUCACUCAUUCACACAAAUAUGGGAGACAAUCAAUACAAGUCAAAUGAGGUAAAUCAAAAUACAGUACUUUUUCAGGAACACACUGUAAUAUCUUAAUAUUUUCUUUGAGAGAGCACUCAAUAAAACAUCUCUGAAUGAGUUUCUAUGAUUCAUAAAUUAAGUUGUGUAUGCUAUGUAUUAGGUAUCUUUUCUGACUGUAUGUUAAUAACAGUCCAGUGUUUACUAGUGCUUAUGUUCCCUGACAAGCCUGUAGUCUUUUACCUGUUUCUGGUCAGGAAGCUCUUCAUACUGAGAUGUAUGGAUGCCUGCUCACAAAGGCCAAGUCAAUACUGGUAAAUACAACUGGUGGCCUAGAAAGAAUCCAGGCAUUUCUGCUGAAUGAGCGAGAGCAUAGGUAUAAAUUUCGCAAACAGUGUUAUACAUCCAUGUUGAGAGAAACUGAGGUACUAAGUAUACAUGCAUAGAGAAAGAUGGCUUCAUGUGAAACAGAUAUUUAGGUUUCCAUUUUAAUUAGUGAGGAAGUAGCUCAGAUGCUUAGCACAGCUGUCAUCAGAGGCACUGUGGGGCACCCAACAUGGUUUCCCACUGCUGUGCCAAAAGGGUGUAUGUCUCCCAUAGGUUCCAUGUCAUAUAUGACAGCCUUCAGCUGACGUCUUGGACACCUGAAGAAUAUCAUGAUGCUAAACAGCAAAAGUUAUAUAACUGAUUUAAAUAUAGUCAAUACAGCUAGAAAAAGGGAGAAAGCUAUUCAGAUCAUCCAAAGAUAGUCAUUCAGUUUUGACUAUCUCAGUAGCUCUCUGUACUGCUUUAACUCAGCUGACUAGAUUUGUGUAGGGAAACUGUUAGGUCAGGGCUUGAAUUGGUGACUGAGCACCUUAGUGAAGGUGUGUGGCUGGCCCAAGGAGCACAGGCAGAAUUGGGAAGGAGUACUGCAUAGCUGGAGAUCUCUUUCACCAGAGAUUAUGUACCCUAUGGCUACUUUCUUCUUUAUAUUACUUUAAGUUAACAUCAUACAGAAAUUGUUCCUGCUUUUCACUUUUUUUCUCUCUGAAGUUCCCAGAGUUCUGAGUUUUGUCAGCUUAUCAGUGAAUACAACAGCUUAAACUGUCUAAAAUUUUUGUGGUUAUCUUUUCCUUCAUGUACAGUUCUUUUGUGGCAUAAGUAUAAUGUUUGAUGUAUGUGAUAGGCAGCAGUGAAUGAGUCCCAAGAGCAAAGGUGAAGUGGAUUAAAUUAGGUCUUCUUAUUUGCUUUGAUAAGGCACUUGUGGACAACUGUAGCCAUAUGAUACUCCUUGCUGUACAGUGCUUGCAAAAAUCUAGAUAAUAGUCUUACUCUUAGAAAUUUCUAUCUGUAUUUUGCCCUUUCCUAAGUACCUCAGUCAGUAAGUUUGUCUAUGGUGAAGUCAAUGGUGGCAUAUACACCACUAUUGUUAAGGAGGUACUUUUUGAAAGCCCAUACAGAGUAUUUCACAUAAGUAUGAAAUGCAGAUGCAAACAUGUUUUGUAAUAAUAUUAAACCUAUUAGUUGGCUUGAGUGUGAAGAGGAUAUCAAACCAUGUAGUUUAUGAAUGCAAAUUGUGUGAAGUACCUCUGGACACAAACACUCUUCAAAACUUAUCUAGCAUUCAUGUACACAAGUGUAAGUUACAUUUUUCCCAUUAUAGCUGCUAUGAAUAUGGUUCUUCCACAUUUAAUUCUUAAAAAAUUCACUUUGUUCAGAACUAUGUAUGACAGCCUAUCUUGCUUUUAAUAGUUAUGUUUUGCAUCUGCUACAGGGUUUGGAAACCCCAUAAGGAACUUUUAAAUACUUAGAUGAAACAGACAAAGAACUGUUAGAAUAAAACUCAUCUAUGCAAAAUUGCAGAAAAAGUGUAUGGUUGCUGGAAGCAAGGUCAGGUAACAUGGGAGGACUACAGAGAUGCUGUUUCUCUUUGUAGAAGAAAAAAAUAGUAUGGUCAAAGCUCAGUUACAGUUUAAGUAAGCCGGUACUGUGGGACAGAAUAAAAAGGUUUUCUUAAUGUAUUAACAGCAAAAGGACAAUCAGAGAGAACGUUCAUUUGUUACUUGAUGAGCAUAGUCACCUUACAAACAGAUAUAGACAAAGCAGAGACAUUUAAUGCCUUCUUUGCCUUGGUCAUCAGCACUCGUGAUGGGCUCUGGGAUUCCAGGUGACUCAAGUUAGAGGACUGUAACUGUGGUAACAACUAGCUCCCAGUCAACACCAAACUUGUGUGGGAUUUUCUGAUCCAGUUGUAUGCAUAUAAGUUCAUGGUGCCUGAUGGGUUUCAUCCUAAGAUACUCAGAGUUCACUGAUAUCAUUGUGAGACAUCUCUCAGUUUUCCAGUGGUGCUGGGAAUCUGGAGAGGUCCCUGUUGAAUGGAAGCUGGCAAAUCUUCCAAUUGUCAAGCAUGACAAGAAAGAUGACCCUGAUAAUUACAGGUCUAUCAGUCUCACUUUGGUGCCUGGUAAAAUUAUGGAGAAAACUAUGUUGGGAGGUCUUGAAAAACACCUGAAGUACAAUUCAGUCAUUGCCAACACAAGUUUGUGAGAGGAAGGUCCUUUUCAACUAACUUAAUUUCCUCUUAUAACAAGAUCACCCAUCUAGUUGACCAAGGGUGGCAGUUGGAAAUUAGAAGAGCUAAAUUUAGAGGAGCUGUUGACUCCAUUGAGGGUAGAGUGGCCUUGCAGGGAGACCUAGACAAAUUGGAGUGCUGGACAAUCACCAAAUGCAUAAAGUUUAGCAAGAGCAUGUGCUGAGUUCUGCAUGUGGAAAGGGGCAACCAUGGUUAUACAUAUAGACUGGGUAUAAGGUGCUGGAAAGCAGCCUCACUGAAGGAGAUUUGGGGGAGUCUUGAUCAACAGCAAUUUGAACCACAUCCAUCAGUAUGACCAAGAAGGCCAAUUGUACCCUGGGGUGCAUCAGGCCCAGCAUUCCCACCUAGGUACAGGGAAGGAUUUUCCUGCUCUACACUGUAUGAUCGCACCUUGAGUAUUGUGUGCAGUUUUGGGUGCCCCAGUAUGAAAAAGGAUAUAAAACUAUUAAAGUGUUCAAAGGAGGGCUACAGAGAUGGUGAAAUGUCUUGAGGAGAAGGUGUAUGAGGAGCAGCUGAAUUCCCUUGAUUUGUUUAGUCAAAAGGAGAGGGAAGAUCUUAUCAUGACAUUCAGUAUCCUCAGGAGAAGAAGCAGAGGGGCAGGCAUUGAUCUGCUCUCUGGUGACAGUACCCAAAGGAAUGGCAUGGGGCUGCAUCAAGGAAGGUUCAGGUUGGAUAUCAAGAAAAGGUUCUUCACCAGAUGGUAGUUGGGCAAUGGGACAGGCUCUCCAGGACAGUGGUCAUGGCAUCGAUCUUGCUGGAGGUCAAGAAGUGUCUGGAUUAUGCUCUUAGUUGUAUGGUCUCACUUUUGGGUGGUCUUGUGUGGAGCCAGGAGUUGGACUCAGUGAUCUUUAUGGGUUCUUUCUACCUUGGGAUAGUCUGUGAAAACUCUGUACUGACACGAAGUAUUUAACUAUAAAAGUGGGUUAUGUUUUGUUUUCAAAUUUUGUGUUGAGAACAGAUGACCUGGUGAGUGAGAGGGAAAGAGAGGAGGCAUUUUGAAGAGUCUUGUUCAGCAAUGAUUAUAUUUCUGGGGAGCUGCAGCAUUGCAUUGUAUACUUUGGCCAAAAGUUGCUCAUUUGAGUAUCUGAGCUUUACAAACUAUUUCUCUGUACUACAUAGUACUUUUUUUCCUGUACUGAUGCUAUCUAAGGUCUAGUCUAGAUAUACAGCCAGCCAAAGUUACAUGCCCUCCAAAAUCUAUUUUUAAAUAACUAAAUUAACACUUUUCUUAAACUCAGAGUGACAUUUUAGAUCUUUUUUUUUUUUUUCAUUUCUAAAACUAUUUUGGCAUUCCAAUAUUGCCUUAUAUCUAGACAAACACCGAUAUCCUUUCUUGCCUGUGUAGUUUAGUUUUGUGUACUGGUAUAUUAGAAUCUGAAGUCUUCCAUAGUAAUUUUUGUUCAUUUCCUAAAAUUCAAUCAAAAUUGAGUUACAACUAAUCUCUGCAAGCUGAUCUAGGAUGUGGAUCCAUGGAGAUACAAUUCUUGGAUGUUUGUUAACACUUUUAUUUGACUUCGUAUCUCCAACACGACCCUUAUGAUCCAUCAGUAUUAUCAUAACAUACAUUGAGAACAUUGCCUGUAAUGAAGGUGUCUGCUAUAAUCAAAGGCACAAACUGCUGCAGUCAUAGUUUUGCAAGUUUCUGUGCACUGACUGAGCCAAAGGUUUUGUCAGAGACCUAGCUCAUUGCCCCUUCACUUCACUCUUAGAAACGUGCAACUCUGUAUGCUAGUGUUAAAGAACUUAAAAAAUGGUUUUGAAAAACAGCAAAAAAUACGAAGUAGCAUGUUUUUUAACCAAUAUUUCCUUAUUUUUAUUUUUAUUUUACAGAUGGCAGUUUGUAUUUACUGUACCAGAAUAUUUUGUAAAGGAGAUUAUGAGGACUCACUGUGCCCUUUAUGGUGCAUGUGGGUGCAGAAACAGAAUAGUCUAAGUCCAACUCAAUAAUCUGAACAGUGCAUUUAUGGAACAAAGCAUCAGUCACUGCCCACUAAGGACAGUGCAUAGUUACUCGUCAUUCCUUACUGCCUGUGUCUUGAAGAGCAAGGUAUGAAGGUUUCUCACCAAACUGAUUUCUCUGUGCAUACCUUCUCUUUUCCCUUUCCCAUCUCCUCAUCCUGCUGAAGUGCUGAUGGAUUUUCAGUGCUUCUGGGAAUUUCCUGAUUGUAUACCUAAUUUGGACUCACUGUUUUGAAAAUCUUGACUAAGGAGUGGGGUGGCCUCUAGUCUGAUCAAGUGAUCAAGCCUUUCCAAUGCAAACGUGCUGCUGUACGGAGGGAAACAAAUUACUUACCACAGAAGAAAUGAGCACAAGUGGGCACCAGAAAUGCUGGCUGCUAUAUUUAACUUAUAAUACUAAUAUUGGAACGUCAUAGCUGUCUCCAUGUCCUUAAUGGCAGCCCUGUGAGAUUCUAUCUAGAUUUUAUGAUCUUAUAUGGAAAGUAAUUCAGCUAUUUAGAGAACUAUGCUGUGUGCUGUGUACAAACAGUGAGGCUACUUACGUCUGUUCUCCGUGUUAUCAGCACUGUUAAAAAGUCACAUCAGCUGGGAGGAUGUUCUGCUUUAUAGUUUCUGCUGUUAUUGUUUCUAGGGAAACCACUUCACUUAUCCACACUCACUGUGCCUGUCACAUCCACAAUUUACAGACACUCAGGGUAAGGAAAAGGUGCACCUCAGAAAAUCUGCUCUUAAUUGAUACACUAAUAAUAACUGUAAAUGCAUUAGAAUUACUUCUUAAGUUAGACAUUCUGAUUUAGCAAGCAUACUGUGUCUCUGUAGGUUUCCACAGCAGUAACCUAGGGUAGAGAUACUGUGCCAGAACCCCGGCCAGCACUUCACAGGACAUUUAACCAUCACUGAAGACCAGAUGGGUUAGGACUGUUUUGUUUUUGUAUUUUUUCCUUAGAUAGCAGGUGUUGAGCAGAGGGAAAAUCAUAAAAGACCUAGGCUAAAAUUUUCUUCAAAGAGACUUCUGCUUUCUUUUUGUUUCUUAGUUUGACAGAAAAGACUUUGUUUUUAUGGAAUUUGAAGGGGGAAAUAUUCUUUUAGAGCAGAAAAUAAUACCAAUGAGAAGGUCAACAUAAUUAUUAUUUUCACCAGAAUCUGCUCCUUUUCCACAUUUCAUCGUGGAUUUUGAAAGACUACUUUUCAGAAUGAUAGCUUUUAUCACACACUGCUAUUUUUAGAGCUUUCAAAAGGUUUUAUUGCUUAAGACAUUUUAGGCACAUGAGGAGCUGGAUGUGCUCCUAGUACAAAUGAGGUAGGCUUUAUAACCACACACAAACUCCCGUGGACAUUUUUAGAAGCAUUUGGAUGAUGCUGGGAUUAAAAAAAGAGCAGUCAGAGGUCUCUUUGCCCUCCUGGGCUCCACAUAGCUCUGUAUUUUAGCAGUUUAGUAAAUGCUGAGCACCAUUUCUUUGAUGAAGAGGAUUUACUGACCUGUGAUUCCAAUUUUAGCAGUCCUAAGAGGUCUAACAUGAGAGGACUAAAUGUCCUUCCACAUCAAGACAUUAAUUAUCUCCAUUGAAAUUUCCUUGCUUUUUUCCACUUGUUGUGAAAGUAUGAGAGUAUCCUGUCUCUGUAUGUCAGAGACAGGAUGGUCUGGAAUCGAGGUAGAUUUUCUGUUAACAUGUAACAAAGCAGUGGCUGACAAAAAAAAAUUAAGUAUCUCUGCAGAUGGAAGAUAUGUCACUAUGUUAUACUCAUGGAAGAUUCAUUUUCAACACACAACAAGCAGGUAAAGGAACUAGUUACAGGUUUUCCAUUGGAGUGAUAUUCUCUUGAAAGUUCAUAGGAUGGUUGAGGUUGGAGGAGAUCUUAAAGAUAUCUUGUUCCAAUCCGUCUGCCAUGUGCAGGGUUGCCGGCCACUAGGAUAGCCAGGAUGCCAUCCAACAUGGAUUUAAUUUAGUUCAGUUUAUUUAAAAUAAUUUCUGGAGAGAAUAUUGCUUUUUUCAAUAAAAGACUUUGAAGUUUCAGGAAAAAAUAUUAUAUUUAAGUACAGGGGCUGGUCCAAAAGUAAUGCCAAACAGUGGAUGUGAGCACAGUGAGGUGGUAGGUGGUGCAUUUCAGCAGUGCUAACAGAGAUAUGAAAGACAAGCCAUGUUGAGAAUGGCCAUGUGCAGCUGUCGCAGCACGAAAUGAAGAGUGUCUCAAUCAACUCAUCCAUGUGGAAUGGGCCCAUCAGCUAAUGGUGCUGACUCAGUUGAAAAAGACUGUGUUGUACCUGAGAAUGUGUUCCGUCAAAAAGUGUUACUGUGCUCUUUAUGGCUGUUAUAGUCUCCAUGGAAAUAAAAUGGAGGCAUUAGUUUUGGAGAAGCCUAUAUAUAUAUAUUAAGAUUCAAGAACAAUGCAUAAUUUGAUCAAAAUUGCCAAACAGGUUAAUCCAGAUAAGAUUUCCUUAAAGGGAAGUAAAAUUUCUUUGUUACUGGUAUAUUGGCUAACAUAAUCUGGAAGAAAUGAGGUUAAAUCUGCUUUGAAAGUCCGCUUUCUUUUAAGCAAACAUCUUAAAAUGGUUAAAACAGAAAGGUAUUGCAACAAUUUAUGAAGCUUCCCUGUACAUAACAGUACAUGUACAAGAAUAUUGUGCAUGUAUAGAUUACAUCAGAUGGUUUUACAGCAAUAGCCUAGCUUGUAUGUGCAUUUAUUGGUAGUAAUAAAUGCUUAAAAUUGGCUUUGAAACAUUUAAUAGUUCCUCUGUAUAAAAGCAUAAAUCUGGCAUGAGGUGAAAAAUGACUCACAAGCACAUUUCUGAAUAAGUGUUAAAUGUGUUUUGUUUGUGGAUUGUUAUGUACUAUAGGUAUUUGAUCCUCCAUGCAGUAUAUUUUAAUAUACUUAUGAAAAGCUACAGCUGAAUGUAAUUUGGUAUGAAUGGUUAUCCAUUUGAAAGCAUAUUCAUUAUUAUCUAGUUUCCAUUUAUUAUUCCAAUCAUCAUACAACUGAGGAACUAAAAAAAAAAAGAAAAAAAAUACUGUAAGAGUUAAGUAACCAGUCACAGCAAGGUUAGUUUUCAGCAUGCAGUGGGAAAAUACUUCAGAGGGGACAGUCACAGUUUAUCAGAGUGAUGAAUCCCACGCUUGUGAAUAGAUACGUUUGCAGAAAUUAGGGCAGGUUUUCUGAUAGCUUGGAACCAAAAAUGUCUGCAGUUGUGGUAGCUCUUAGUUGCUCUGUAAGUAUUUUUCUAGACCAGUUUCACUUCUGCUCAUGUGUACUAUCUAUACAAAGUCAUCCAGCAACCUCAGGUCCUUGGUGGAAGAAAAAUUCAGCAUCUGGUUUCUCCAGGUUCUGUUUCCAUGUCCUUACAGUACAAUUUCAUUAUUCCAAAAGGAGGUGUUCUGCAAACUUGUGUACUUGAGGCUUAACACAGGCAUAACCAGAUGAAGACUGGCAUGGACUGAUUUAUGACGUAGUCAAUAUCAUUGUGUAAUGCAGAACCAUUUCAUAAGCAAUAAUAUCACUGAAAAUUACACCACAUAUUUUUUAAUUAAACCCAAUAACAUUAAGCUGUAGAGUGAAAAAAGUACAUACAGUAUCCCAACACAGCUACUAGAUGUUAUCUGCCUGCCCUUUUACAUGAGCCAGAAGAACCAGGACAUUAACAAACAGCCUCUAUUCUCACUGCUUGAAGAGGAAAAGAAUAACAAAUUGCAUAAAUGGAAGCAGAAAUAUUAGGUUCUGUGUUGUUCCUUCUCCCUCCCUGGUCUUCUGAAGCGUUAUUUGUGCCAGGAGUAAGUAAAAAUGUUGCAAGUGUUUAGUGUCCCAUUGUCUGCCAGUUCCUAUGUCUACUUCAGUCACUAAGAUUUUACAACCAGCUAUAAGGAGAAUACUUAAAAUCCUUCUCAAUCACUGUGAAGAGUAGUUUUAAAGGAAUACUGGUAUGCUGGAAACAUAAUUGCUAAAGACUCCUGGUCUAGGAGUAAAAGAACACAAAGUUACACUAUUUCACCCCCCCCCCCCCCCCCCCCCCCCCUUUUUUUUUUCUUUUAAGUAGGGAAGAGGAAUCCUGCAGUUGCCAGCAAGAUCUACAGGACUCAUCCAGCAGUGCUUUAGGCACGAGCAAAUAAGUGACAUUGUCACUAUCUUCUGGACAUCUGCUCACGCUAAAACCUGAGGGAAACAGAUGGAGACAACGAUGUUUUUAAGCAUAUUUUACCAAUUAUUUUUGGAUACAUCUAAUGACACGCUGUGGUGUGUACUAUACGUACAAAUAGCCACAAACACAUGUAUACAUGCAAAAAUCAUUUAAGCGUUUAUAAUAGAGAGAAAUCAUCACAGAUCCCGUCAAUCUGUAGUUUUCUGGCAGGUACGUGCAGUGAAAUUGACUUUAGGAUUCAUAUUUUCUUAAGGGACAUUAUUUGAGGUAUGUGGCAACGUACUGAUCAGCUCACUCUUUAUAAAUAAUUUAUAAAUGUCCCCUAAUAAACACGUACUUCUACUUUUUGUAUCUGUAAGCCAGAACUACUGUGUGAGAAGUCUACCUUUCAGAAACUCUUGCUUCUAGCCUGAAAAUGAAAGCAUGCAGCUCCUGGUAAAGUGUCAGGCACAUCCAACUAUCUUUUAAUUGUAUGUAUACUAUAUGACCAGAAAUACUGAGAUAUAAUAUAUUGUCAUUUACUGACUUUAGGGAACUUCUUCUUCGUUUAUUUUAGCAGGAUAACUUGCUAAUGCAAGUGCUGCCUAUUACGUGUGAAGAGCCUAUAACCACUUGCAAAUGCAGCCACUUCUGGAUGUGGAGACAAAUUUUUCUGACUGGAGAGAUGUGCUCCCAUCUGCAAAUAUUCUGUGUAUCUACACUUCAGUGGCAAAGGGUGAGAUUAAACAGAUAAACACACUCCUUAUUCCCCCUGCCUGUCAUCCUCCAAAUUAGUUUGGAUUAGGUUAAAAUAUUUUCAUUCCUGUUUACUCUAUUUAAUUCCAAAAUGUCCC
ensembl:lncRNA